rnacentral:lncRNA from 1 species
UUCUCAAUCUCUUGGUAUUGAGUUGCCCAAAACUGUUGGAGCUGUUGCUGAAGUUGCUGCUGUUGUUGCUGGUGAAUAUGCUGAUAAGCAAGUUGAUGUUGUCCCAGCUGAGCUCCAGCAGGUUGACCGAUGGAUUGCAUGUUCCCAGCAGAUGUAACAACUGACCCUGGGGCUCCAGUCAUUUGGCUUUGCUGAUAAGGAUUAGAACCGUAAGAGAGUUGAGCUCCGCUACCGAUAACCCCCAUAUUUGGGUUCUGGCCAUGCCCUUGAUGAUCCAUUCUGUUCCAAGUGAAAACAAAAAACUCAAUGCUUAUACUCCACAUGCAAUGAAAACAACAAAUCAUGUGAUUGUUGAAGUAAAUUUGUCGAUUUAUUAGUAAAUAUACCCCCAAGUACAGUAUGCACAGCAACCUUUAAAGCAAUUAUGAAAAAUGGGCAUUCAUCCACUGAAGUGCUAGCAAUUAUUUGUUAUAAUGGAAAACGAUACUAUCUCUAUGCCAGAAACAGGCAUCUCCUUUUCUAGGUCUGCAUAAGAGUCCGUUUGCGAGUUAAGUUUUGGAUGGGAGGGGAUGGAAGGCUUAAGAGCCAUCUCACAAGUGUAUUUCAUGGCUCUUAAGCCUUCCAUUUUGCUUCUUUCCCAUCUAAAACUCAACUAACAAACGGACCCGAAAGCAUAAAAGCAUUCAAUUCAAUCUACUUAUUCCUAGGUACAAUUAUAUCCGAAACACAAAAGGCAACUGUUAUGAGUUAUGACAAGAACUUUGUGACUGGAUCACCGGAAACAUCUAUGUGAAAGCAACAUGUGUUACAUAACCAACAAGUUACAAAUCAAACUAAAUAUCAAAAUUGACCAACGAUCUUUCUCAAAAGACCAAAAUGCUUUCCAUUUAAAGAAGUGUUGAUUAAAUUUGAUAUUUAGGUUGCUUUGUAAACUGCUGGUUGGGUAACACAUGUUUCUUAUGUUUGGGGGUACAAUUGUACAUUAGGAAUGUGCAAACUGAAAUAAAUGCUUUUAUGCUAUAUGCACACCAAGAAAAUGAGAUGUUUAUCUUCCUUACACUGUAUUAGAGAAUCACAGAACAAUCUCUAAAUACAACUUAAAAACCUUAUGGUAAAUCUAUUAACGAAUUUAUGGCAAGAUAUAACAUAAAACAUCCAGAUUUCCAAUGCUUUGAACUGUGUGCAUGAUAUCAACAAGGAAUCAUCAAAAAAGAAGGGAAAAAAAAUAGUUUCCAUGUCCUCUAACAAAUUAAAAUCUAAUCAAAUUCUUUGUUCCCAUCAAAUACAGUUCCAAAAUUGGGAGGAAAUUAAAAAGUAGAAAAUAGCCAAUGGAAAUUACAAAUGCUCAAUAAAAAUUGUUUCUUUUUUGCACCAAAAUAAAAUUAACAAGCACCAAUAUAUAAAAUCAUUAAGACCAUGUUAAAGUAUACAUAGACGGGUUAACUCUAAUAUGAACAUUUCGCAUGCCCUUGCAAAUAUGACUGGUGCCUCAGCUGAUAUCAUUCGGACAUCCUCAUCUGCUUUCAUAAUCUUCUUGAUCCUUGCCAGGGGAAGGCUGUGAUUUUUGAAAUCGGUAACUUUCUCAAUCUCUUGGUAUUGAGUUGCCCAAAACUGUUGGAGCUGUUGCUGAAGUUGCUGCUGUUGUUGCUGGUGAAUAUGCUGAUAAGCAAGUUGAUGUUGUCCCAGCUGAGCUCCAGCAGGUUGACCGAUGGAUUGCAUGUUCCCAGCAGAUGUAACAACUGACCCUGGGGCUCCAGUCAUUUGGCUUUGCUGAUAAGGAUUAGAACC